rnacentral:rRNA from 1 species
UACGAAGGGGGCUAGCGUUGCUCGGAAUCACUGGGCGUAAAGCGCACGUAGGCGGACUCUUAAGUCAGGGGUGAAAUCCUGGAGCUCAACUCCAGAACUGCCCUAGAUACUGGGAGCCUUGAGUUCGGGAGAGGUGAGUGGAACUGCGAGUGUAGAGGUGAAAUUCGUAGAUAUUCGCAAGAACACCAGUGGCGAAGGCGGCUCACUGGCCCGAUACUGACGCUGAGGUGCGAAAGCGUGGGGAGCAAACAGG